UUAUAACCAUUGCUGCUGCUUUCUGGCCUCCAGCAGUUUGUUUCAGCUGCUUCGGAGAGGAAGAUGACUGGAGCCACAGGGGGCUUCUAGGAUGAUGUCCAAAGACAGAGAACUCUGCAGAAGCAGUUCUGCCUGGGAACCAGAACAGGCCUUAGGGAUCAGCUGGUCA
rnacentral:lncRNA from 1 species